GUGUAUUCAGGCUUUGCUGGAUAUCAUGGACAUGUUUUGUGACCGACUGAGGUAAGGGCUGGGUGACGAGAUUCUCACCCAGCAUUCUCUCAAGGUAUAGGAGAAGCUCCUAGCAUAUAGUAUGAGAUCAACUCUGUGGAUUCCCACAUUUUUUCUACCCAACUGCCCAUCCCCAUAUUUUCUAUUUAUUCCCUUAAGUCGAAAUGCC
rnacentral:lncRNA from 1 species